rnacentral:rRNA from 1 species
UGGGGAAUAUUGGACAAUGGGCGAAAGCCUGAUCCAGCCAUGCCGUGUGUGUGAAGAAGGCCUUAUGUUUGUAAAUCUCUUUAAGCGAGGAGGAGGGUACUGGUAUUAAUACUACCAGGUACUGGACGUUACUCGCAGAAUAAGCACCGGCUAACUCUGUGCCAGCAGCCGCGGUAAUACAGAGGGUGCGAGCGUUAAUCGGUUUUACUGGGCGUAAAGCGUGCGUAGGCGGCUAAUUGAGUCGGAUGUGAAAUCCCCGUGCUUAACUUGGGAAUUGCAUUCGAUACUGGUUAGCUAGAGUGUGGGAGAGGAGGGUAGAAUUCCAGGUGUAGCGGAGAAAUGCGUAGAUAUAGGAAGGAACACCAGUGGCGAAGGCGACCACCUGGGCUCAUACUGACACUGAGGUGCGAAAACGUGGGGAGCAAACAGG